rnacentral:rRNA from 1 species
GUGCCAGCAGCCGCGGUAAGACAGAGGAGCCAAGCGUUGUCCGGAUUGACUGGGCGUAAAGCGCACGCAGGUGGUCAGGCAAGUGUCGUGUGAAAGCGGCCCGCUUAACGGGCCGAGGCCAUGGCAGACUGCCCGACUGGAGGUCGUGAGAGGUCCGUGGAAUUGCCGGUGUAGUGGUGAUAUGCGUAGAGAUCGGCAGGAACACCCAAGGGGAAGCCAACGGACUGGCACGAUACUGACACUGAGGUGCGACAGCGUGGGGAGCGAACUGGAUUAGAAACCCUCGUAGUCC